rnacentral:rRNA from 1 species
UAAUACGAAGGGGGCUAGCGUUGCUCGGAUUGACUGGGCGUAAAGGGCGCGUAGGCGGUUCGUACAGUCAGACGUGAAAUUCCUGGGCUCAACCUGGGGGCUGCGUUUGAUACGUGCGGACUUGAGUGCGGAAGAGGGUCGUGGAAUUCCCAGUGUAGAGGUGAAAUUCGUAGAUAUUGGGAAGAACACCGGUGGCGAAGGCGGCGACCUGGUCCGAUACUGACGCUGAGGCGCGAAAGCUAGGGGAGCAAACGGGA